rnacentral:lncRNA from 1 species
GUGCUGUUCCCGGGUGCUGAUUGGUUGCAGACGGUGAUGGGCGAGAGCCUCAGCCAAUGGGAGGCGGCGGAGGCGGGACCAGCCCAUUCAACCCCUCCAGUCUCUCCCAGUAAAGCCCAGUUCAUCCCAGUCCAGGCUAGUUCCUCCCAGUACAGCCCCAGUGCCCCUCCAGUCCCUCACAGUGCAGCCCAGUUUGCCCCUGUGCCUCCCAGUAUCUCCCAGUUCUACCAGUGCCACUCCCAGUUCGUCCCAGUCUAUCCCAAUUUGUCCCAGUGCAUCCCAGUGCCACUCCCAGUCUGUCCCAGUGCUCCCAGCAUCCCCCAGUGUCACUCCCGGUUCAUCCCAGUAUCCCCCAGUUCAUCCCAGUCCUUCCGCGGCCAAACCUCUGCCCCGCCCCCGUCUUUGGCCACGCCCCUUCCAUUGCCCCGCCCCCUCCCAGUUUCCCCCUCCCCCAUUUCCAGUUCCCGCGGCCGCUCUGGGAAGGGAUCAAAGGUCACAGAAUGGAGUGGGAACAGCUCCGGGCACUGGUGAUACUCGGAGUUCUUUCCCUGGCCAGAGGCGACGCCCCUGGUGAGUGACUGGGAAAAACUGGGACAAACUGGGAGGGACUGGGAUGGAAAGCCCAAACUGGUUUCUACUGGUCCAUACUGGUUUCUACUGGCCCAUACUGGUUUAUACUGGUUUAUACUGGUCCAUGCUGGUCCAUACUGGUCCAUACUGGUCAUACUGGUUUAUACUCGUCCGUGCUGGUCCAUACUGGCUUAUACUGGUUUAUACUGGUCCGUGCUGGUCUCUCUG